AUACGGAGGGUGCGGGCGUUAAUCGGAAUUACUGGGCGUAAAGCGUGCGUAGGCGGUUGAUUUAGUCAGAUGUGAAAGCCCCGGGCUCAACCUGGGAACUGCAUUUGAAACUGGUCAACUGGAGUAUGGUAGAGGGGGGUAGAAUUUCUGGUGUAGCGGUGAAAUGCGUAGAUAUCAGAAGGAAUACCGACGGCGAAGGCAGCCCCCUGGACCAAUACUGACGCUGAGGUACGAAAGCGUGGGGAGCAAACAGGAUUAGAUACCCGAGUAGUCC
rnacentral:rRNA from 1 species